GAGGGGUAUAGGCUUUAUUUAAUGGGUAAAUAAACAUUUUGCAUGAAGCAGGACAUUCUUAACAGCAAUUCUGAAUCCAUCCCAACACUCUACUUUCCUGCCAGUAUAAAUGACCUCAUGUAACAUAAGCAAGUUAAGGCUGCAGGUUUACUCACAUCUAUUCAUUCCUACAGAUGGAACGUCUAUCACAUGUGUGUUUUCUGAUGUUGUGUAAGCCUUGAGCUACGGUUAAAAGCUUUGCCACAGUCGUUGCACUUGUAAGGCUUCUCUCCGGUAUGAAUCCUCUGGUGUAUGAUCAGAUGUGAGCGCCACCUGAAUAUCUUCUCACAGUCACCACACUGGUGCAGUUUCUUUAUGGUGUUAACCUUUUUACGGCUCACGAAGGUGGAACCUUCCAGGGUGUUCCCAUAUUCAUAGUACCAUUGGGCUCUAGUGUGUAUUCUCUGGUGUUCGAUAAGAUAAGAGCUCCGACUGAAGGCCUUUCCACAUUCGCUACACUCGUAGGGCUUCACUCCUGCAUGAAUUAUCUGGUGUUGGAAGAGGGUUGAGUUCUGACUGAAGGCUUUCCCACAUUCAGUGCACUUGUAGGGCCUCUCCCCGGUGUGCACCCUCUGGUGGAUGGUGAGCUGCAUGCUCAUACUGAAGGCCUUCCCACACUGGAGGCACUCAUAGGGCUUCUCUCCCUUGUGGAUCCUCUGAUGGUAGAUGAGGCUGGAGCUCUGGCUGAAUGCUUUCCCACAGUCGUGGCACACGUAGGGCUUCUCUCCAGUGUGGAUCCGCUGAUGCUGGAUGAGGUGUGAGCCCUGAACAAAGCCUUUCCCACACUCGUCACAUUUGAAUGGCUUUUCUCCAGUGUGAGUUCUCUGGUGGCGAAUGAGUCGUGAGCUACACCCGAAGGCUUUUGUGCACUUAUUGCAUUUAUAAGGCUUCUCUCCAGUGUGAAUCAGCUGGUGCUGGCUCAGGCGAGAGAUCCACCGGAAAGCCUUCCCGCACUCGUUGCACUUAAAGGGCUUUUCCACAGUGUGACUUGUCUGAUGCACAACAAGGCUUGGGCUCUCUGAGGCUCUGAGCAUCUGAGAUCUCUCCCCGGCGUGCAUCCUCUGGUGCUGAGCAAGAGUUGAGCUCUGGCUGAAGGCCUUGCCACACUCCUUGCACAAGUAGGGUCUCUCUCCGGUGUGAGUUCUCUGGUGUCUGACUAGUUGAGACUGCUGGCUGAAAGCCUUCCCACACUCCCGGCAGCCAUAGGGCCUCUCUCCUGUGUGGAUCCUCUGAUGAUGGAUGAGGCUGGAGCUCUGACCGAACGCUUUCCCACAUUCCUCACACCUGUAUGGUUUCUCUCCAGUAUGAAUUCUCUGAUGCUGAAUAAGUUUUGAGCUCAGGCGGAAGGCUUUUCCACAUUCCACACACUUGAAUGGUUUCUCCCCAGUGUGGAUUCUCUGGUGUUGAUUAAGCUGUGAACACAGCCUGAAGACUUUUCCACACUCCUCACACUCGUAUGGCUUCUCGCCACAGCAGUUACUUGAAAGUUUCCCCUGAAAGCAGCCAGACAAUUGUUUUUGGCAUUCUUGACAGCAGUUAGGCUUCUCUUGUACACUAAUUUCCUGGUAUGGAGCCAGAUCUGGAGUGUGUCCAAAGUCUCUGCCGCACACCUGGCAUUGCUGUGACAUCCCUUGAGCACCAGCUCUCUGACCUUUACCAGGCUGACAGCUGAGGCCACUGGCCCCCAGCUCCUUGGAUUCCUGUGUAGUGUCCUUGGUGAAGGUUUUGGGAGCCAGGGUCCCCUGAAUCAAACACUGUUUCUGGAGAAGGGAGCCCCUUUCUCUCAGCACAGGGCUGCUUGGAAGUCUCUCUGACCAGACCUCAGAAUUGGAAGUGUCUGCAGAGCCAGGACCCUGAGGCUUCAGAAGGUCCAUGUCCCCCUGCUCAUGUGCAAGCCUAACAGUAGAAUCUGAAAUAAACAGGAAAUGAAAAUACUCUAUAUGUACUGAGCUCACAGAAAGGACAAAGACUGAAGUAGUGGGGAAGGCCAGCCCUUCCUAGGAUGGGCUGCAUGGAGCACUGCUACACACCCCAAGGGGAGAUGUAUGCGAGAAGAUGUACUUGGAGAGGCCUCAUACUUGGCUUCAUUGAUGCUUUUUGGUCCACAGUGGUGAAGUGCUCCUCUCUGCUAGGCAGAAUGCUGGGAGUUGCAUGACCUAAGAGGAGUUUGUGAGAAGAGGUACAUCCCAGGGGCACUGUGAAGAAUGCAAAACGGGACUGGACAAAGCCAGCCUGAAGGUGGAAAGUUUGCCAACAAGGAUUCUCAGACGGAGUCGGAGGCCCCCAGCAUCCCAGCUGGUAAAUGGGAAGGUAGAAAAGGGUCUGACCUAUGAAUAAGGGAAUGGGCAGGAAUGGGAGACUGAGGCUCUAGAGCUGCAGGGGGGUUACCCAGGGAGCUCAGAAGAGGGCAGAGUGCCUGGGCUGCCCAUGGCUACUCUCUGCUCCCUCCAGCUGCCACUUAUUUGCACCUGACACUCCUUGCUAGGCUGGAAGCUGAGUGGUCACACCCAGCAGACCACACUGACUUCCCUUUCCCUGUGACAGGUUUCUGGAGGGUCCAACCCAUCAGUCGCCCAGGAAGCCUUCCUGACAUCUGCUUUCCUCCUGGACUUUCCUUCAGACUCCUGUCCUACUCCAAAAUCCCAGAGAGCACCUCUGUUGAAACCACACUUCUCCAUGAUCAUAAUCACACAGUCACAGUCACAGUUACAAUCAGCCUGGUUCCACCCACGGCAAAUUCACAACCCAGUCAGGGCUUCAGCCUCACAGCUCUGUUCACUCCUAACCAUUAGUGGCUGGGUUUCCAGCUUCCAGUGAUUUCCAUGUCUUCCAGAAAGGGGUCCCACCUACCUAACUCUUCUGCAUGAUGGGAACAGAUCCCAGUGGUUCCUAAUUGGUCUUCCACAACCCAGUGAGGUUGGCAGAAGCCUCACUCACGGGAGGCAGACUGGCUCAGAGCUGAGCAGCUUGCACAAGGCCAUGAUGAUGAGGACAGCAUUUGGAGCCUUGAGGAAGCCUUCUCCCACCCCAGCCUCACAGAAAAGCUGCUCCCUGGGCAGGGCUUGCUCAUCCCUCCUCCAAAGCCUUCCUCUGCCUGGAGGUGAGAAAGCAGGACACUAAGACUCCCAGCAAGUACUGCUCCUGCUCUUCCCCCUGCCAGAAACUCAAGAGGACCAAAAGAGAGUGAGAUGCAUCCCUGGUAAGGUUAAGGCCUGGUGGAAAUGCCCAGGUCUUGGGCUACCCAGAACCAAGCAGCUCACAGUCACUUGCAACCACCAACCAAAGGACCAGGACAUCAUAGACAACCUGGCUAUGCUCAUAUUUUCCACGCUCUGGGUCCCUGUGUAUACAUCCAAAAGAGGCUUGGUGUACAUUUCCCAGUUCUGCCCUGACCCUGCACAACACCAGGCCAUGGUCCCACCUUGUCCUGCUGCCCAGCCUCCUGAAGCCUCCUCUCUCGGCAGCCUCUGACCUCCUUGCCUGGCCCAUUUCUCUCUGACUCUAUUUAACACUGACAGCUCCUGCAUAGUACCCCUGUAACUGAAGCUCAAGGUCCUCUCCCCUUCCCUGGAACAUGAAGGUCCUUCUCCAGCAAACUCUGGGCAAUCCCUGGGAAAAGGCAAGCACUGUGAAAAAGCAAAGCCUCUUUGGAAGAGGGAACACAUGUCCUCCCAGAGCAAAGGCACAGCAGUGCCUGACUUAUGACUCUCGUCACUAUCUGGGAACAAGGAGCUAGGAGUCACACAUUGGGGGGCUCUGGUGGUAGGCAAGGGCAUGGGGAGGGACUGCUGCAGAUCCACCCUCUGUUCCCUCUAGUCCCCUUCAAUAUCUGAUGCCAGCUGUGACCAGUCGGGGACAAAGAACUUGCCUGAGCAUUUCCUUUACUCCAUGCCUCUGGUUGUGUGCUCCUGUAUACCGUACUCUAGGGCCCACAAUCUUGUCCUGAGACCACUAUGGGUUACCCUGUGUUUGCUUCAUCCCCUUAUGGGUACAACUUGCUGCACAUAAACCUAUCAAGCUGUCGUACUCUGCCCACUGCAGCUGGCUUUUCUGCCACAUUGUGCUCUCCACAACCUUCCUCCACCAUGCAGGCACCUUACUCGGAGGCUUGGUUUUAACUGGCCACCCUCCAGCUUUGUCUCCUCCCCGGGGAGGAUCAGAAGGAACCUUUGCAGGAGGGGCAGAGGGGAACAUGGAAAUAGGUUGCUGCACCCAUAGUAAUUUAACAUGAGGAUGUCAGGCGGCCCCUAAUCCAAUAACAAUGGUGUUCUUAUAAGGAACUGGCUACAUAGGACAGACAAACAAUAAGAAGGCUGCCAAGUGAAGGAGGCAGGGUCUGGAAUGGCACAUCUACAAGCCAAGGAACACCAACAACUGCAUGAAGUCCCCAAUCCUGGAAAAGGUAACAAGGGCCAAGCCCUGCAGACUUCUGGGCUCCACAGUGAGACAUUUGUUGUUGAUUUGUGUUACUUUGCUGCAGCAGCUGCAGGAGGCCAGUGCACCAGGGUCUGAUCUGAGGGCUUGGUUCCCCAGGCCCCAAGAAGUUCCAGAGACAGCAGCAGGGGCAAUUUGUUUGAGUAGAGGAAGUGGAAAGCAAAGUUUAAUGCUUCCUCAGAUCCACAGAUUUGUGCCUUUCUCGAUAGGUAUAUUAGUAAAAUUAGAAACUGAACAAAAUGUGUACAAUUUCAAAAAACAAACUUUUUACUGAAUGCACAGGUGUUUUGUGUUCUUGCCAUUACAGGGAAGUCCCAGACCUGUUGUGCUUCCUUCCACCCCUGUCCUUGCCUAUGCCACCCCCAGCAGCCCAGUCAAGCCCUUGGGAUUCACCCCAACCUCCCACUUCUCUAGUUCCCACUUUUGGGAAGGCUACUCCUUCCCAAAGGCUCUCUGCUACAGGACCUAUACCUCACCUGUCUGGGAGGUCCACGGUGCUUCUGUCCCCUCAACUCCCUGCAGGUCGAUAACCCAUGGCUCUUGUCCCUGUUCCAACCGAGAGAUCAGCUCAGGUUUGAAGACCAGGAAUCCUGCUGUGUGUGGUCAGAGAAGGAGAUGCUAGGAGCAUGGCUAGUGCUUGACAUCCCCCCAAAAUAAAAAGGGCGAGUUGCCCUCCAGAUAUUAGCACAUACUAGCCAGAAGCGAUGAUGCACCUUCAGCCCCAGUCACUUGGGAGGCUGAAGUGUUCCAAAAACCAAAGCAACGAAACAGAAACAAACCAAGCAGGAAGCUGGCCCACAGACUCUCAGAAAAGAAUAGCGCAGAAAUACACUACUUCAUAUUUUAAGACCAUCAACAGGAAAAGGAGGUUGUCAGCAAAUCAUGUUGGGGAAAUGUUUCAAUGCUCAGACAAAAAUAAAACAGGAUUUUUCCUUAACUCCAACACAAUGGUGAAGCCUUGAUAUUAAUAAGGAAGAUAAGCUAUAAAAUUCACAGGAGAAAAUGUAGGCCAUUUCAAAAAGUUUGAAGUAGGGAAUAACUAAUAAAACCUCAAAGGCAUAAGCUAUAAGACAAAACCCAAAGUACAUUAUGUGAAAAUGUGACAAGGCUGGGAAUGCAGCUCAGUGGCAGAAUGCUCACCUAGCAGGCAUGAAGCCCUGGCAGGCUCAAUCCCCAGUACUGAAAAAAACAAAAAACAAAAAACUAACCAGCGUUACCAAACAUGAGAGAAGGGUAAAGGUACAAUGUGAAUCGGUGUGGUGUUCACCCUUGAUAUACUGUAAGAUAGACUUUGUAUAAAAUGCUUUCACACCUCUAAACCUCAGGGACAUCUUAGAAUUGAAAUCAGAAGUCUUCCAGCAACUGGUAAUAGAUGUGACAUGCCACUGCUGCCCACACAAGCUGCAUUAUCUGCUCUGUACACUGUCUUCAAAAAAUUUAUUCUGGCCAGUCAUAGUGGCACAUGGCUGCAAUCCCAUCGACUCAGGAGGCUGAGGCAGACAGAUCACAAGUUUGAGGCCAACCUCAGAAACUUAGGUGAAGCCCUCAGCAACUUAGUGAGAUUCUGUCUCAAAAAAUAAAAAGGGCUGGGGAUAUAGCUCAGCUGUAAAGUGCCAUGCAUUCAAUCUCCAGUACCAAAAAAGAAAAACAAACAUUAAUUUAGUAGCUUAAGAAAAAAGAGGCUUUAUUAACUCUCAGAAUUUCACCUACCCAGUGAGGGCCGAGUCACCUGAUAUGUGCAAAGUCUGGAACCAGCCUAGCACAGGUUUGAGGCCCCUAUUUGGCCCAAGACAGUCUGAGCACUCAGCCUCCCCCACAUCUGAUGCAGGCCUGGCUGGCUGUGUGGGUGCUGACUGACUGUGCAAGGGAGGGGGACCAAGGUGCCACCUCACCUAGUCCGGCCACGCUGCUGUGGUUCUCCAGCAUCACCUCCCUGUAGAGGGCCUUCUGGCCAGAGUCCAAACACUGCCACUCCUCCCGGGAGAAGUGCACAGCCACGUCACCAAAUGUCACCGCCUCCUGAAAGGACAAAUACCAGCACCCCAGGGAUCCCUGGGUGCCAGCCCCAUUCUUGCACGGCAUCACAGCAUAUCUCAGGCAGGUGUACCAAGGGGUUGGGCAAGAGUUGCCCAGCUCCUUCCUCCAAAAUCCGAGGAAAGGGAAGUUUAAGAGGAGAGGAGGGACCUGGCUCUUGGUAACCAUAUGACCCUCCCUCUCACAAGCCUCAGAUAGGCCGAUCUGGCAGAGGUUUGCUCACUGCCUUUGGGGUGCCAAGGGGGGUGCCUGAGUCUGGCAAGAGCCAGUGAGGGCUGAGGGUGGGUCUGGGUCUGCAUCCAGGCCCAGGAAGCAGGGUAGAUGCCCAAAGUAGGAGGUAGAGGCUUCCCAGAGCAAGUGUGGGAAUGGAGGCAGCCAAGCUUCCUACCAUGAGGCUUGAUGGAUGGUGUCCACUGGUCUUGGCUGGGACACCUGCAGGGAAUUAUGAAAGGGUUAGAGGUCAGGGUGGUAGAAGCUCCUUAACGCCUAAGAAAAUCAAGGCGGUACUGUAUUUCCUGCACAGCAGGCACAUGAGUUGGGUCGAAGCAACCCUGAUGCUUAAGUAUGUGGCCCCUGAAGCCUUAUGCAUCUUUCAAUGUGUUUGUGUAUGAUGUCAAUCAGUCCACACAGGAGUGGCUGGCAUGUACCACACACUCAAAUAGGCAAAGGGGAGGCAGUGGUGAAUGCACAAUAAUCCUACCUUCAUGGACCAGGCUAGUGGAGGAAGGAACAAAAUAACCAAAAAAUCAUAAUCGUGGUAGUGCUGAUAUGGGGAACUAUGAAAACCUUUAACUGGAAAACUGAUUUAGGCUGAGUGCAGUGGCACAUGCCUAUAAUCCCAGUGACUCAGGAAGCUAAGACAGCAGGAUUGAAAGUCUGAGGCCAGCCUCAGCAACUUAACAACGUCCUUAGCAAUUUGGUGAGACCCUGAUUCAAAAUGAAAAAUAAAAAGGACUGUGGAAGUGGCACAGUAGUAAAGUGCUCCUGGUUUAAAUCCCCAGUACCAAAAUAAAACAAAACAAAACAAAUCAUUUAGUCUAAAGGGUCACUUCUUCAGGGAUCUAGGCCAAGGUGACUGUGGUGGGGAGAACACUCCCGGCAGUAUGAACAUCAUGUGCAAAGGGCCUGAGGCAAUUAAGAAUAAGAUUGAAGGAGCCAGUGAGGGUAGAUCACAGGCAGCAGGCAUGCAGCAACUGCAGGUUGAAAUAGAUACAAGACAGGAUGAUGUACUGCAGGGAAGAUAGGAUCAAAUGCAGGAAGCAUGCUCCAAGUACAUAAACUCCAUCCAGGGAUCAGCUAUGGCUAGCAUCUGUCACCAGGAUGGCACCAGCCCCAGAAGUUACUGAUGUAGCUAACACCUCAGGAAGUCCCGUGAGAGGUCAGAAUGGGAAGUGCUUCUUAGAGGAGCUUUUGGCCAAGAAAGUGGCCCCAGGCCAAUGGGACAUUGGAGCACGACCCCGGCAGUAGUGACCACUGGAGGGCGAUGCUCCUUUGGAGCCUGGACAUUUAGGGUGCUGCUGCCAGGGCUGGAAGAGUAAGAGAAAGGAAGGCCUUGAAUGGGGGUCCAGACUCGAAGACAGUCUAACCCACCCAACAUCAGUGGCACCAAUGUUGAUGCCACUGUCACCGAUUCGAAGCCCUGCAGGAGCAGAAAGUGAGAGGAAAAGACGGGACCCUAGAAGAAGUGAUUAUGCAGGAAAACCAGGGAGAACUCCGGAGCAGCCCAGGGCGGGAGGGAAAGCGCAGUUAGGGCUCGCCUUACUCAGGCAGGACGCCGGAGUCCGCGAGCAACCUGGGGGUAGCUGCGGGGUUCACACGCUCCACUGCCGCCUCUCGCCGACGGAGUCCAGGGCGGCCGCUGCCCGACCAUGUCCUCCGCCCAGCGUUCACCGCCUCUGUAAGCAGCCCAGGCUUCCCUAAGUAGAGGCCAACCCAGCGCGCCGCACCGACUCACCCUACCGGAGGCCAGCCCAAGGCCCGUAAACGCGCGACGCCGCCAGAAACGGGCCUCACUCACGCACCCCGCCCACUUCCGGCCGUUCUGGUCCGCUCGGAGGUUCGGCCGUCUCGGCGGUUCCCAGCCCCGCCUCCCGGGUUUGGGAGGAAGGGGCGGAGCCGGAGCCCGAAGGAGAGGCAAAUUGUAGCGCGGUUUAGAGUAGGCCCAAGAGCUGGGCCAGGAGCUCGAGGAAUAGGCUAGGGUCUGUGGCGGGCGGGACAGGGGCCACGGGGGUGUCGCUUACCGGGAGGGCGGGACAGGAACCUGUCUGGACUGGACCGUGGGGAAGGCGUGGCGGGGCCAGGAGCCUGAGAGACGCCUGGGUAAGAGGAGGGCGUGAAUGAAAACGAUAGUGGGCGGGGCCAGACACAAGGGCGGUGGGCAGGGCCAGGAGCCGGAGGGCGGGGCCAGGGUCCGAGGAGGGCGUGGCUGGACUCCGGGCGCGAGUGGAAUCGGGGCGGGGCCGGGCAUCUCCGCGCGCCCUGGAUCGUGGCUCCGGGGCUCCGGCCCCAAUUUCUCGCAAGCUGAGCGCACCCCGGGAGAGGAGUCGCCUCGACCGGGCGCACCUCCUGUGGUCAGUCUCGGGCGCUGGUUCCCCACGCCGGCCCUGUCAGGGCGCAGUCGGUCAGCUUUUCAUUAGCAGAAAACCCCGGUCGGCACGCCGGCGCCGCGCAGACGUCUCGGUUCAGGGUGAGGCCGUCGCCAGCUCCGGGGCGUGGGCAAGACCGCUUGGGGGCAACAGGAGCCUGUUUCUUGUUGAAUGCCGCCGCAGCGUCAGGGAGCGCUGGAACACGUGGUAAG
rnacentral:lncRNA from 1 species